UGGGGAAUAUUGCACAAUGGGGGAAACCCUGAUGCAGCGACGCCGCGUGAGCGAAGAAGGUUUUCGAAUCGUAAAGCUCUGUCCUAUGAGAAGAUAAUGACGGUAUCAUAGGAGGAAGACCCGGCUAAAUACGUGCCAGCAGCCGCGGUAAUACGUAUGGGGCGAGCGUUGUCCGGAAUUAUUGGGCGUAAAGGGUACGUAGGCGGUCUAUUAAGUCAGGUGUGAAAGCGUGAGGCUUAACCUCAUUAAGCACUUGAAACUGAUAGACUUGAGUGAAGGAGAGGAAAGUGGAAUUCCUAGUGUAGCGGUGAAAUGCGUAGAUAUUAGGAGGAAUACCGGUGGCGAAGGCGACUUUCUGGACUUUUACUGACGCUCAGGUACGAAAGCGUGGGGAGCAAACAGG
rnacentral:rRNA from 1 species